rnacentral:rRNA from 1 species
ACGAACGCUGGCGGCGUGCUUAACACAUGCAAGUCGAACGGUGAAGCGCCUUCCUUUUUGGUGGGUGUGGAUGAGUGGCGAACGGGUGAGUAACACGUGAGUAACCUGCCCCCUUCUUCUGGAUAACCGCAUGAAAGUGUGGCUAAUACGGGAUAUUCUGGGUCUGUCGCAUGAUGGGUCUGGGAAAGAUAUUGUUUCGGUGGGGGAUGGGCUCGCGGCCUAUCAGGUUGUUGGUGGGGUGAUGGCCUACCAAGGCGGUGACGGGUAGCCGGCCUGAGAGGGUGGACGGUCACACAGGGACUGAGACACGGCCAAGACUACUACGGGAGGCAGCAGUGGGGAAUAUUGCACAAUGGGCGCAAGCCUGAUGCAGCGACGCCGCGUGAGGGAUGGAGGCCUUCGGGUUGUGAACCUCUUUCGCCAGUGAAGCAGGCCUGCCUCGUUUGUGGGUGGGUUGACGGUAGCUGGAUAAGAAGCGCCGGCUAACUACGUG